rnacentral:rRNA from 1 species
UACAGAGGUCUCGAGCGUUAGGCGGAAUCACUGGGCUUAAAGCGUGUGUAGGCGGAUCGUUAAGUACCUUGUGAAAUCCCACGGCUUAACCGUGGAACUGCUUGGUAUACUGGCGGUCUUGAGCCAGCUAGGGGCUACCGGAACAAAUGGUGGAGCGGUGAAAUGCGUAGAUAUCAUUUGGAACGCCAAUGGUGAAAACAGGUAGCUGGGGGCUGUGCUGACGCUGAG